GACGAACCGUCCAAACGUUAUUCGGUAUCACUGGGCUUAAAGAGUUCGUAGGCGGCUCCGUAGGUGAGGUGUGAAAUCCCUCGGCUCAACCGAGGAAUUGCGCUUCAAACCGUGGAGCUUGAGGUAGACAGGGGUAAGCGGAACAGAUGGUGGAGCGGUGAAAUGCGUUGAUAUCAUCUGGAACACCGGUGGCGAAAGCGGCUUACUGGGUCUUUUCUGACGCUGAGGAACGAAAGCUAGGGUAGCGAACGGG
rnacentral:rRNA from 1 species